CCUACGGGGGUCAGCAGUGGGGGAUAUUGCACAAUGGGGGAAACCCUGAUGCAGCGACGCCGCGUGGGUGAAGAAGCGCCUCGGCGCGUAAAGCCCUGUCAGCAGGGAAGAAAAUGACGGUACCUGAAGAAGAAGCCCCGGCUAACUACGUGCCAGCAGCCGCGGUAAUACGUAGGGGGCAAGCGUUAUCCGGAUUUACGGGGUGUAAAGGGGGCGCAGACGGCGAUGCAAGCCAGGAGUGAAAGCCCGGGGCCCAACCCCGGGACUGCUCUUGGAACUGCGUGGCUAGAGUGCAGGAGGGGCAGGCGGAAUUCCUGGUGUAGCGGUGAAAUGCGUAGAUAUCAGGAGGAACACCGGUGGCGAAGGCGGCCUGCUGGACUACAACUGACGUUGAGGCCCGAAAGCGUGGGGAGCAAACAGGAUUAGAUACCCGAGUAGUC
rnacentral:rRNA from 1 species